rnacentral:rRNA from 1 species
GAGUGGCGAAAGGGGCAGUAAGGCGUGGCUAACCUACCCCGGGGACGGGGAUAGCCUCCCUAACGGGAGGGUAAUACCCGGCGAGUUGGCCGAGGGGCAUCCCUUGGCCAGGAAACGAGUUUCGCCUCGGGAGGGGGUCACGUGGUAUUAGCUAGACGGCGGGGUAACGGCCCACCGUGGCCGAGAUGCCUAGCGGGUGUGAGAGCACGACCCGCGCCACUGGCACUGAGACACUGGCCAGACUCCUACGGGAGGCUGCAGUCGAGGAUCUUCGGCAAUGGGCGCAAGCCUGACCGAGCGACGCCGCGUGCGCGAUGAAGGCCUUCGGGUUGUAAAGCGCUGUCGAGGGGGAGGAAAGCCCGCAAGGGCCUGACCUAUCCCUGGAGGAAGCACGGGCUAAGUUCGUGCCAGCGGCCGCGGUAAUACGAACCGUGCGAACGUUGUUCGGAAUCACUGGGCUU